UACGUAGGGUGCAAGCGUUGUCCGGAAUUAUUGGGCGUAAAGAGCUCGUAGGCGGUUUGUUGCGUCGGCUGUGAAAUCCCGAGGCUCAACCUCGGAACUGCCUUCGAUACUGCGGGUCUCGAGUCCGGGAGAGGUGAGUGGAAUUCCUAGUGUAGAGGUGAAAUUCGUAGAUAUUAGGAAGAACACCAGUGGCGAAGGCGGCUCACUGGCCCGGUACUGACGCUGAGGCGCGAAAGCGUGGGGAGCAAACAGG
rnacentral:rRNA from 1 species